GCAGGGAUCUUUUUUCAAGGUUUGAUUCUGAGCCAAAGCAUUUUCAGUCUGCCAGUUAAAAAUUAGAUUCUGUAGUGCUUUUUUUUGCAGGUGCACCAGAAAUGUCAGGUUGGAUCUUGGAAGGGAUCUUAAGUGUAUGAGUAUAAUUAUUUUCAGUGCAUUCCUCAAGAGGUGGAAAUUCUUUGUCAUAUAUGUUCCUGAAGAAGAUUGUAACAUACAUACGAUAGGAAUUGGUUUUGGUUUAGGAAAAGGAUUUUUCUGAACCCAUUUAUUUAUCUUUUUAUAACAUGGUUGGGA
rnacentral:lncRNA from 1 species